rnacentral:tRNA from 1 species
GCCUCAAUGGCUUAGAGGUAUAGCACUUCCUUGGUAAGGAAGAGGCCGCGGGUUCAAAUCCCGCUUGAGGCU